rnacentral:misc_RNA from 1 species
AACGCACAUUGCGCCCUUUGGUAUUCCGAAGGGCAUGCCUGUUCGAGCGUCAUUAUCACCCCUCAAGCCCCGUGCUUGGUGUUGGACGGCCGGUCGAGCGAUCGACCCCUCCCAAAGACAAUGACGGCGGCCUGUGGUUCCCCCGGUACACUGAGCUUUCACGAGCACGUAUCGGACAAGGGCGCCCGGGACCCGGUCCUCUCCCCUCACCGGGAAACUUCUAAUGGUUGACCUCGGAUCAGGUAGGAAUACGCGCUGAACUUAA